rnacentral:sRNA from 1 species
UUUUGUUUCUUUCAUGUCUCUUCUACUUAUCUGUCUUCCCUUUUUUAAUGAUCAUGAAAAAA